UACCAGCACCCCGAGUGGUCGGGACGAUUAUUGGGCCUAAAGCAUCCGUAGCCGGUUUUACAAGUCCUCCGUUAAAUCCAGCUGCUUAACAGAUGGGCUGCGGAGGAUACUAUAAGACUAGGAGGCAGGAGAGGCAAGCGGUACUCAGUGGGUAGGGGUAAAAUCCGUUGAUCCAUUGAAGACCACCAGUGGCGAAGGCGGCUUGCCAGAAUGCGCUCGACGGUGAGGGAUGAAAGCUGGGGGAGCAAACCAGG
rnacentral:rRNA from 1 species